UUUUGCAAUCAGUGUGAAAGAAGCUAUCAUAUGAGACCAGAUGUGACAUUCAUUUCACCGGAAGUAGCAUAUUAUCUCCCUUAUAUCACUCAAAAAGAUAAUUAAACCAUUAUUUAUCGCAUCAGUAUGAAGAAACUACCUUCUUAUCCAAAUUUCUGUGGUGUGGAAAGACUUUCAAUUGUUCUCUGAACAAUUGGUUUUUAAUUAUUAUUAUUUUUUUUUUUUUUCUUCCGCCAAAUUUUGUUCUUGCGAUAAAUGUUUGUUUCGCAAUAUGUCGCUUAGAUAUUUCUCAUAUGGUAUCGUAUAGUUUAUGCGCUUUUAAAUUUCACCCUGCUAAGGCGAACCAUUUUCUUUGUAAGAGUUAUCUUCCCUUUCACUGUUUAUCAUCAGAGUGCAUCUCCUCCGUAACCGUAGAAAAAUGCGACAAAUUUAUUUUAUAAAAUUGCUCGUUAUAUCCUUCGCAUGAUUUGUCCUAUUUUAACCGAAGCGAUAUGAACACUCCUUAUGAGAGUUAUUCCCCCUUUUGCAUUUGAUAUUAGUAAUAUGCAUUUCUAACUGGUAAACCAUAGGUAAUAGAGACCUAGGGUCUUUUGAUUUAAGGUCCUUGGUCCAAAAAAAUGAAAAUUAGGUCAAGGUCAAAGGUCAAGGUCAUAUUAUAAAUUUUGAUUUUGGCUUAUUUUCACUUUCUUCAAAAACCGUAUAACAUAUACACAUGUUAUCUUUACUAAAUUGUUAGUUACGACAUGUCGUAACUUAUAAAUUUUGGUUGAAAGGGUGCGUAAUCAAUAAUUGGGAGUUUUCGCCCAUCUUAUAUUUAGAAUUAUGCAUAAAGUGAUAUAACUCAUUAUCCAUACAUAUUAUAAGACCUUGCAUCUUUUGAUUUGAGGUCCUUGGUUUGUGACCUUGAAAAUGAGCUCAAGGUCAUUGGUUAAUAGGACGUUCUAGAUUUUGACCUUUGCUUUAAAUUCAUAUUUAUACAUCAUAAAGCCAUAGGAAGUGACAUUUUAGACUGAUUUUUAAUAUUUUUAUAUCAAAAUUGAUCUUUACCGAUGGAAAGACCUU
rnacentral:lncRNA from 1 species